rnacentral:rRNA from 1 species
UACGUAGGGGCCUAGCGUUGUCCGGAUUUAUUGGGCGUAAAGAGCUCGUAGGCGGUUUGGUGAGUCGGGUGUGAAAUCUCCACGCUCAACGUGGAGGGGCCACCCGAUACUGCCAUGACUAGAGUCCGGUAGGGGAGUGUGGAAUUCCCGGUGUAGCGGUGAAAUGCGUAGAUAUCUGGAGGAACACCGGUGGCGAAGGCGACAUCCUGGACCGGCAUUGACGCUGAGGCGCGAAAGCCAGGGGGAGCAAACGGGG